rnacentral:sRNA from 1 species
UAUUAUAACGUGUUACUAGCUUUGAUUCUUGUUGUAAAACACAAAGGGACAACAUGUGGCAUCGUAGUUAUUAUCUUAAUUAUCUACUAGUAGUU